rnacentral:rRNA from 1 species
UACAGAGGUCUCGAGCGUUAGGCGGAAUCACUGGGCUUAAAGCGUGUGUAGGCGGAUCGUUAAGUGCCUUGUGAAAUCCCACGGCUUAACCGUGGAACGGCUGGGCAUACUGGCGGUCUUGAGCCAUCUAGGGGCGACUGGAACAAACGGUGGAGCGGUGAAAUGCGUAGAUAUCGUUUGGAACGCCAAUGGUGAAAACAGGUCGCUGGGGAUGAGCUGACGCUGAGACACGAAAGCCAGGGGAGCAAACGGG